rnacentral:siRNA from 1 species
CUUGCUUAAUAGAAUUUUAGC